UACGUAGGGUGCAAGCGUUGUCCGGAAUUAUUGGGCGUAAAGAGCUCGUAGGCGGUUCGUCGCGUCGGCUGUGAAAACCCGGAGCUCAACUCCGGGCCUGCAGUCGAUACGGGCGGACUUGAGUUCGGCAGGGGAGACUGGAAUUCCUGGUGUAGCGGUGAAAUGCGCAGAUAUCAGGAGGAACACCGGUGGCGAAGGCGGUUCUCUGGGCAUUACCUGACGCUGAGGAGCGAAAGUGUGGGGAGCGAACAGG
rnacentral:rRNA from 1 species